rfam:Cicer arietinum chromosome Ca5, whole genome shotgun sequence.
GUUCUGCCGUGAGGAGUUAAGAACAAAUUCACAUUUCAGAGAUUUUUAUAAUCGUUGAGAAUGACAAUUCUUAUCACCAAGCAGAAA